UCGCUAUGAUGAUAACUGCGCCGUCGGCGACGGUUGGGUCCGUCGCUUCUUCUGAUAUACUCAGACGAUAACCGGCGCUGCUGAGCAU